rnacentral:rRNA from 1 species
GAUGAACGCUAGCUACAGGCUUAACACAUGCAAGUCGAGGGGUAACGAGAGGAAAGCUUGCUUUCCUUGUCGACGACCGGCGCACGGGUGAGUAACGCGUAUCCAACCUGCCCCCAACUAGGGAAUAACCUUGCGAAAGUAAGACUAAUACCCUAUAAUUUCCUCAGAUGACAUCUGACGAGGAAUAAAGAUUUAUCGGUUGUGGAUGGGGAUGCGUCUGAUUAGCUUGUUGGCGGGGUAACGGGCCACCAAGGCAACGAUCAGUAGGGGUUCUGAGAGGAAGGUCCCCCCCAUGGGAACUGAGACACGGUACAAACUCCUACGGGAGGCAGCAGUGAGGAAUAUUGGUCAAUGGGCGAAAGCCUGAACCAGCCAAGUAGCGUGCAGGAUGACGGCCCUAUGGGUUGUAAACUGCUUUUAUACAGGAAUAAAGUUAGCCACGUGUGGUUAUUUGUAGGUACUGUAUGAAUAAGGACCGGCUAAUUCCGUGCCAGCAGCCGCAGUAA